rnacentral:rRNA from 1 species
UACGGAGGGAGCUAGCGUUGUUCGGAUAUACUGGGCGUAAAGCGCACGUAGGCGGAUUGUUAAGUCGGGGGUGAAAUCCUGGAGCUCAACUCCAGAACUGCCUUCGAUACUGGCGAUCUUGAGUCCGGGAGAGGUGAGUGGAACUCCGAGUGUAGAGGUGAAAUUCGUAGAUAUUCGGAAGAACACCUAUGGCGAAGGCAGCUCGCUGGGACGUUACUGACGCUGAGACGCGAAAGCGUGGGGAGCAAACAGG